rnacentral:lncRNA from 1 species
AAAUUUAUCAAACCAUUAGAUUUGAACUAUAUAGUUGACCAUAAAUACUUGAAACUGUUACUAUUAUACAUUCAUUAAGACAACUGUGCAUAACAUGAAUUAAAACUGCCUUUGUGUGAUAUAUGAAGUCGUUACUGUUCUUGUCCCUAUUCUAUUCCCAUGUAAAUUUAAAAAAAUUCUUCAAGAACCAAGAAUCUAUCAGACAAUACAGAAUCUGAACUUGAUAGCUCAUGUGAAUAUCAAACCAAACAGAUUCCAUAAGCUUAGACCUAUAAAGAUUAAGGUAGAAGAGCCACAUUGAUUCCAACGUUAAUGGAACAAAAAAUUAAUGAUUUAGUGUGGUUUUUGAGAAAUUAUGUGUUUCAUGUGUGACAAAGAUACGCUUUAUCAUUUGUCAAGCUCCAUUGUUUGAGCAGCUGGAGCUGCUGAAAGUUAACAUUUAAUUUUACUCUAAUUACUACAACUUAGCUUUGUAGACUUGUGUUAAUAUAAAUUUAGAGUUCAUAUGAAAAUGUUUCACUUGCCUAG